UACAGAGGGUGCAAGCGUUGUUCGGAAUUAUUGGGCGUAAAGCGCGUGUAGGCGGCUUUGCAAGUCGGGUGUGAAAGCCCUCAGCUCAACUGAGGAAGUGCGCCCGAAACUGCAGAGCUUGAGUGCCGGAGAGGGUGGCGGAAUUCCCCAAGUAGAGGUGAAAUUCGUAGAUAUGGGGAGGAACCCCGGUUGCCAAGGCGGCCCCCUGGACGGUAACUGACGCUGAGACCCGAAAGCCUUGGGAGCGAACAGG
rnacentral:rRNA from 1 species